UUACCGGCUCUUAGCGGAGAGUCCGGCACAAUGGGACUGAGACACGGCCCAUACUUCUACGGAAGGCAGCAGUUAGGAAUUUUGCGCAAUGGACGAAAGUCUGACGCAGCGACAUCGCGUGUGGGAUGACGGCCCUCGGGUUGUAAACCACUUUUUGGGAGUCAUGAAGGCGCCCAGAAUAAGGAACUACUAACUACGUGCCAGCAGUCGCGGUAAUACGUAGGUUCCAAGCGUUGCCCGGUUUUAUUGGGCGUAAAGCGUCUGUAGGUGGUUUUUUAAGUCUUGUUUCAAAGACCCCGACUUAAUCGGGGAAAGGGGCAGGAUACUGGAAAACUAGAGUUAUAUCGGGGUUACUGGAAUUUGUGGUGUAGGGGUAAAAUCCGUGGAUACCACAAAGAACACCAAGCGCGAAGGCGGGUAACCAGAUAUACACUGACACUGAGAGACGAAAGCUAGGGUAGCAAAUCAGAUUAGAGACCUGAGUAGUCCUAGCUGUAAACAUUGUCUGUUAAUUUUUCGGGAUUUAUCCUGGGAGAUGCAAGCUAACGCGUUAAACAGACCGCCUGGGGAGUAUAGCCGCAAGGCCGAAACUCAAACGAAUUGGCGGGGAGGCGCACAACCAGUGGAGCAUGUGGUUCAAUUCGAUACAAAGCGAUGAACCUUACCUGGGCUUGAAAUGCACCUGCAGGCUCCUGAAAGGGAGAGUCCUUCGAGGGUGGUGCACAGCUGUUGCAUGGCUGUCGUCAGCUCGUGACGUGAGUUGUUCUCUUAAGUGAGGUAACGAGCGCAACC
rnacentral:rRNA from 1 species